rnacentral:rRNA from 1 species
AUUGAACGCUGGCGGCAGGCCUAACACUUGCAAGUCGAACGAGUGGCGGACGGGUGAGUAAUGUCUGGGAAACUGCCUGAUGGAGGGGGAUAACUACUGGAAACGGUAGAUAAUACCGCAUACGAUCAGUUGUGCCCACAUGGGAUUAGCUUGUUGGGGGGGUAACGGCUCACCAAGGCGAAGAGCCCUAGCUGGUCCGAGAGGAGGACCAGCCACACUGGAACUGAGACACGGUCCAGACUCCUACGGGAGGCAGCAGUGGGGAAUAUUGCACAAGGGGCGCAAGCCUGAUGCAGCCAUGCCGCGUGUAUGAAGAAGGCCUUCGGGUUGUAAAGUACUUUCAUCGGGGAGGCGUUACCCGAAGAAGAAGCACCGGCUAACUCCGUGCCAGCAGCCGCGGUAAUAC